rnacentral:rRNA from 1 species
AAGGAAUAUUGGUCAAUGGACGCAAGUCUGAACCAGCCAUGCCGCGUGGAGGAUUAAGGCCCUCUGGGUUGUAAACUCCUUUUAUCUGGGAAGAAAUGUACUUUUUCUUGAGUACUUGACGGUACCAGAGGAAUAAGCACCGGCUAACUACGUGCCAGCAGCCGCGGUAAUACGUAGGAUGCGAGCGUUGUCCGGAUUCACUGGGUGUAAAGGGAGCGCAGGCGGGCUUUCAAGUCAGUGGUGAAAUCUCACAGCUCAACUGUGAAAUUGCCGGUGAUACUGUAGGCCUUUAGUACGGAAAAGGGUGAUAGAAUUCAUGGUGUAGCGGUGAAAUGCGUAGAUAUCAUGAAGAAUACCAGUUGCGAAGGCGGUCACCUGGUCCGUUACUGACGCUCAUGCUCGAAAGUGUGGGGAGCAAACA